rnacentral:rRNA from 1 species
UACGGAGGGUGCAAGCGUUAUCCGGAUUUAUUGGGUCUAAAGGGAGCGUAGGCGGACAUUUAAGUCAGGGGUGAAAUCCCAGAGCUCAACUCUGGAACUGCCUUUGAUACUGGGUGUCUUGAGUGUGAUAGAGGUAUGUGGAACUCCGAGUGUAGAGGUGAAAUUCGUAGAUAUUCGGAAGAACACCAGUGGCGAAGGCGACAUACUGGAUCAUUACUGACGCUGAGGCUCGAAAGCGUGGGGAGCAAACAGG